GCUCGUAGUUGGAUCUCGGCGGACAGAAGUCGGUCCGAAUGCUUUCGGUACUGGCUUGUUUGUCCGUGUGUUUUGCCAGAGGCAGGCGGGUGCUCUUCGCCGAGUGUCCGUCUGUACUGCAGGUUUACUUUGAAAAAAUUAGAGUGCUCAAAGCAAGCUCUCACGCUUGAAUAUUCGUGCAUGGAAUAAUAGAAUAGGAUGUCGUUUCUAUUUUGUUGGUUUUCGGAAAUCGACAUAAUGAUUAAUAGGGACAGUCGGGGGCAUUUGUAUUCAAACGACAGAGGUGAAAUUCUUGGACCGUUUGAAGACAAACUACUGCGAAAGCAUUUGCCAAGAAUGUUUUCAUUAAUCAAGAACGAAAGUUAGAGGUUCGAAGGCGAUUAGAUACCGCCCUAGUUCUAACCAUAAACGAUGCCAGCUAGCGAUCUGCAGGCGUUUUACUUUACGACCUUGCAGGGAGCUUCCGGGAAACCAAAGCUUGUGGGUUCCAGGGGAAGUAUGGUUGCAAAGCUGAAACUUAAAGGAAUUGACGGAAGGGCACCACCAGGAGUGGAGCCUGUGGCUUAAUUUGACUCAACACGGGAAAUCUCACCAGGCCCGGACACGAGAAGGAUUGACAGAUUGAUAGCUCUUUCUUGAUUUCGUGGGUGGUGGUGCAUGGCCGUUCUUAGUUGGUGGAGUGAUUUGUCUGGUUAAUUCCGAUAACGAACGAGACUCUGUCCUGCUAACUAGUGUCUGCUUCUUUUCUGAGCAGAUUAUUCUUCUUAGAGGGACUGGUAGCUCUUAGCUAUACGAGAUUGAGCAAUAACAGGUCUGUGAUGCUCUUAGAUGUUCUGGGCUGCACACGCGCUAC
rnacentral:rRNA from 1 species